GCCGGGGUGGCGAAAUUGGUAAACGCGCGCGACUCAAAAUCGCGUGGGCUUUGCCCUUGUGGGUUCGAGUCCCACCCCCCGGCA
rnacentral:tRNA from 1 species